rnacentral:tRNA from 1 species
GCGGGCGUGGCGGAAUUGGUAGACGCAAGCGACUUAAAAUCGCUUGGGCUUUCCCGUGCCGGUUCGAGUCCGGCCGCCCGCA